CAAAAUGGUGACACUGACAUUCUUAUACGCUGGAAUACAAAUUAAAGUGUGAGAUGUAGAUGAGAAUAAGUGUACUAGAGUUCUUAUAGGACAUGCUGGAAUUGUAAAAUCAAUGUGUUCACAUUCAAUGGAUUCUGGUUCAUGUCGAGCAUACAUAUGUUCCUUUUUAACUUAUUUAUGUUUUUGGUCAAGAGGGCUCUAACUUUUGUUGCUUACAAAUCUUCUUGUAUCUGGUUCAAGAUGGAUGUUUUGCGUUGUUGGAUUUAAUAUGUAAAAGUAGCUCUCACAAAGAGGAAUUUUGUAUCAACUCUAUUGGGAUGGUUAAAGGAUCUCAUCAAUCUCCUCUUUCAAAACGAAUCAGACGUCGCAAGCUGCUUCAUCAAGCAUUACCUUUGUGCUUUAUUUGAAGGAUGAGAUCACAAUUGCCACUGCUGGAGCACCAGAUAAGCCUUUGUGCUUUACUCCGACAUUGCUUUGAUCUAUAGGAUAAAAUGAACAAGUUUUGAUUUCUUGACUUCUAAAGUAAAAUGAACAAGUUUUGAGUUUUCAAGAAACCAGAUUGGUGA